UAAUCAGCCAAUCACAGCCGGGUUCGGCCAAUCCCACAGCCAAUCACACGCUCUCUGCUUUUUUUCUCAAUAUAUAUAUUUUUGCUCUAUUAGAUUACAGAUUUUUAAUUAGUUGUUUCUCAGACAAAUAAACUAUCAAUGAAAAGAUUAUUUAUUCAGCUUACAGAUGAUGUAAACAUCUCAAUUUCAGUAAAUUGAUUUAUGACUUAUGACUGGUUUUGUGGUCCUGUGGAUGUACAAACACACAGACAAUAAUUCUGUAUGUAAAACAUUAUUCAUCUGAAUAUGAGAGUAUUGAUGAUGCUGUGUGAUUACCCAUGAGCCCUCACUGUUCUGAUUUACGGAGAUGCUUCAUGUUCGGCUCACAGUGUGUGAUGAAUCAUGUGAAUCAGGAGGAAAUGAGGAGUAAAUCGAGAGUGAGUCCUGUGAGUCUGGAGUGAAUUGAGUGAGUCAGGAGUAAUUCAGGAGUGAGUCGUGUGAGCUGUGUGAGUCAGGAGUGAUUCAGGUGAGUCAGGAGUGAUUCAGGUGAGUCAGGAGUGAUUCGGUUGAGUCAUUCAGGUGUGUCAGGAGUGAUUCAGGAGUUAUUCAGGUGUGUCAGGAGUGAAUUGUAUCUGCCAGGAGUGAUUCAGGUGAGUCAGGAGUGAUUCAGGUGAGUCAUUCAGGUGUGUCAGGAGUGAAUUGUAUCUGUCAGGAGUGAGUCGUGUGAGCUGUGUGAGUCAGGAGUGAUUCAGGUGUGUCAGGAGUGAUUCAGGUGUGUCAGGAGUGAAUCAGGAGUGAUUCUGGUGAGUCAGGAGUGAUUCUGGUGAGUCAGGAGUGAAUCAGGAGUGAUUCUGGUGAGUCAGGAGUGAUUCUGGUGUGUCAGGAGUGAUUCUGGUGUGUCAGGAGUGAUUCUGGUGAGUCAAGAGUGAUUCUGGUGAGUCAGUCAGUAGUGAUUCGGGAGUGAGUUGUGUGAGUCAGGAGUGAUUUGGGUGAGUCAGUCAGGAGUGAAUCGGGAGUGAUUUAGGUGUGUCAGGAGUGAAUCAGGAGUGAUUCUGGUGAGUCAGGAGUGAUUCUGGUGUGUCAGUCAGUAGUGAUUCGGGAGUGAGUUGUGUGAGUCAGGAGUGAUUUGGGUGAGUCAGUCAGGAGUGAAUCGGGAGUGAUUUAGGUGUGUCAGGAGUGAAUCGGGAGUGAUUUAGGUGUGCCAGGAUUGAAUCAGGAGUGAUUCUGGUGAGUCAGGAGUGAAUCAGGAGUGAUUCUGGUGAGUCAGGAGUGAUUUGGGUGAGUCAGUCAGGAGUGAAUCGGGAGUGAUUUAGGUGUGCCAGGAGUGAAUCAGGAGUGAUUCUGGUGAGUCAGGAGUGAUUCUGGUGUGUCAGGAGUGAAUUGUAUCUGUCAGGAGUGAGUCGUGUGAGCUGUGUGAGUCAGGAGUGAUUCAGGUGUGUCAGGAGUGAUUCAGGUGUGUCAGGAGUGAUUCAGGUGUGUCAGGAGUGAAUCAGGAGUGAUUCUGGUGAGUCAGGAGUGAUUCUGGUGAGUCAGGAGUGAAUCAGGAGUGAUUCUGGUGAGUCAGGAGUGAUUCUGGUGUGUCAGGAGUGAAUCAGGAGUGAUUCUGGUGAGUCAGGAGUGAUUCUGGUGUGUCAGUCAGUAGUGAUUCGGGAGUGAGUUGUGUGAGUCAGGAGUGAUUUGGGUGAGUCAGUCAGGAGUGA